rnacentral:rRNA from 1 species
CGUGUAGGCGGUUGGGCAAGUCAGAUGUGAAAGCCUUCUGCUUAACAGAAGAAGUGCAUUUGAAACUACCCGGCUAGAGUACGGGAGAGGAGAGUGGAAUUCCCGGUGUAGAGGUGAAAUUCGUAGAUAUCGGGAGGAACACCAGUGGCGAAGGCGGCUCUCUGGUCCGAUACUGACGCUGAGACGCGAAAGCGUGGGGAGCAAACAGGAUUAGAUACCCUGGUAGUCCACGCCCUAAACGAUGGGCACUAGGUGUAGGAGGUAUUGACCCCUUCUGUGCCGAAGCUAACGCAUUAAGUGCCCCGCCUGGGGAGUACGGCCGCAAGGCUAAA